ensembl:lncRNA
GUAAACAACAACAGCAUGCUCAACUACAAGGUAAACAACAACAUGCUCAACUACAAGGUAAACAACAACAAACUGAACUACUAGGUAAACAACAACAACAUGCUCAACUACUAGGUAAACAACAACAACAUGCUCAACUACAAGGUAAACAAUAACAAGCUGAACUACUAGGUAAACAACAACAGCAUGCUAAACUACAAGGUAAACAACAACAACAUGCUCAACUGCUAGGUAAACAACAUGCUGAACUACGAGGUAAACAAUAACAACACACCAAACAACUACUACUCGCUCCAAAACAAAACUCCUGGUCCGGUUAGUCUCUGGUGGUCCUGACCCUGGUCCCGUUAGUCUCUAGUGACCC